GAUGAACGCUAGCGGCAGGCUUAACACAUGCAAGUCGAGGGGCAGCGGGGAGGAAGCUUGCUUUCUCCGCCGGCGACCGGCGCACGGGUGAGUAACACGUAUGCAACCUGCCCGUGGCAGGGGGAUAAGCGGGGGAAACCCCGUCUAAUACCGCGUAACGCGGCCUAGGGACAUCCCAAGGCCGCCAAAGGGAGCAAUCCCGGCCACGGAUGGGCAUGCGGCGCAUUAGCUAGUCGGCGGGGUAACGGCCCACCGAGGCGACGAUGCGUAGGGGUUCUGAGAGGAAGGCCCCCCACACUGGUACUGAGACACGGACCAG
rnacentral:rRNA from 1 species